AUUGAACGCUGGCGGCAGGCUUCACACAUGCAAGUCGAACGAGUGGCGGACGGGUGAGUAAUGCUUGGGAAUCUGGCUUAUGGAUGGGGAUAACUACGGGAAACUGUAGCUAAUACCGCGUACCAUAGGAUGAGCCCAAGUGGGAUUAGGUAGUUGGUGAGGUAAAGGCUCACCAACCCGACGAUCUCUAGCUGGUCUUAGAGGAUGACCAGACAAACUGGGACUGAGACCCGGCCAAGACUCCUACGGGAGGCAGCAGGGGGGAAUAUUGCGCAAUGGGGGCAACCUGACGCACCAUUGCCGCGUGAAUGAAGAAGGCCUUCGGGUUUUAAAGUUCUUUCGGUAGCGCGGCGUUAACUACAGAAGAUGCACCGGCUAAUUCCGGGCCAGCCGCCGCGGUAAUAC
rnacentral:rRNA from 1 species